rnacentral:rRNA from 1 species
UACGUAGGGUGCAAGCGUUGUCCGGAAUUAUUGGGCGUAAAGAGCUCGUAGGCGGUUUGUCGCGUCUGCUGUGAAAACCCGAGGCUCAACCUCGGGCCUGCAGUGGGUACGGGCAGACUAGAGUGCGGUAGGGGAGAUUGGAAUUCCUGGUGUAGCGGUGGAAUGCGCAGAUAUCAGGAGGAACACCAAUGGCGAAGGCAGAUCUCUGGCCGUAACUGACGCUGAGGAGCGAAAGCAUGGGGAGCGAACAGG